GAUGAACGCUGACAGAAUGCUUAACACAUGCAAGUCUUUGGCGAAGCUGUGCUUGCACAGCCUAGCCAAGGCGGACGGGUGAGUAACGCGUAAGGAACUUGCCCUGCAGUCAGGGAUAACAGACGGAAACGACUGAUAAGACCUGGUAAAGUCAGGCGGACUCAUGUCCAGCCUGAUGAAAAGAGAUGCUGCAGGAGAGCCUUGCGUCCUAUUAGCUUGUUGGUGGGGUAACGGCCCACCAAGGCGAUGAUAGGUAGCCGGCCUGAGAGGGUGGACGGCCACAAGGGGACUGAGAUACGGCCCUUACUCCUACGGGAGGCAGCAGUGGGGAAUAUUGGACAAUGGGGGCAACCCUGAUCCAGCAAUUCUGUGUGCACGAAGAAGGUUUUCGGAUUGUAAAGUGCUUUCAGCAGGGAAGAAAAAAAUGACGGUACCUGCAGAAGAAGCGACGGCUAAAUACGUGCCAGCAGCCGCGGUAAUACGUAUGUCGCAAGCGUUAUCCGGAAUUAUUGGGCAUAAAGGGCAUCUAGGCGGCCAGAUAAGUCUGGGGUGAAAGCUUGCGGCUCAACCGCAAGCCUGCCCUGGAAACUAUGUGGCUAGAGUACUGGAGAGGUGGACGGAACUGCACGAGUAGAGGUGAAAUUCGUAGAUAUGUGCAGGAAUGCCGAUGAUGAAGAUAGUUCACUGGACGGUAACUGACGCUGAAGUGCGAAAGCUAGGGGAGCAAACAGG
rnacentral:rRNA from 1 species